GAUGAACGCUGGCGGCGUGCCUAAUACAUGCAAGUCGAGCGAACAGACGAGGAGCUUGCUCCUUUGACGUUAGCGGCGGACGGGUGAGUAACACGUAGGUAACCUACCUAUAAGACUGGGAUACUUCGGGAAACCGGAGCUAAUACCGGAUAAUAUUUCGAACCGCAUGGUUCGAUAGUGAAAGAUGGCUUUGCUAUCACUUAUAGAUGGACCUGCGCCGUAUUAGCUAGUUGGUAAGGUAACGGCUUACCAAGGCAACGAUACGUAGCCGACCUGAGAGGGUGAUCGGCCACACUGGAACUGAGACACGGUCCAGACUCCUACGGGAGGCAGCAGUAGGGAAUCUUCCGCAAUGGGCGAAAGCCUGACGGAGCAACGCCGCGUGAGUGAUGAAGGUCUUCGGAUCGUAAAACUCUGUUAUUAGGGAAGAACAAACGUGUAAGUAACUGUGCACGUCUUGACGGUACCUAAUCAGAAAGCCACGGCUAACUACGUG
rnacentral:rRNA from 1 species